rnacentral:rRNA from 1 species
GACAUGCGAGUCGAGGGUGGUUCGCCCACCCGGCAAACGGCUCAGUAACACGUGGAUAAUCUAACCUUGGGUGAGGGAUAAUCUCGGGAAACUGAGGACAAUACCUUACAGGCCUUGGAUACUGGAAUGUUCCAAGGUUAAAAGCGUCUAGCGCCCAAGGAUGAGUCUGCGGCCUAUCAGGUAGUAGUGGGUGUAACUUACCCACUAGCCGAUGACGGGUACGGGCCUUGAGAGAGGGAGCCCGGAGAUGGGUUCUGAGACACGAACCCAGACCCUACGGGGUGCAGCAGUUGCGAAACCUUCACACUGUGGGAAACCACGAUGAGGGGAUUCCAAGUGCCAGCACAUAGUGUUGGCUUUUCAUCUGUCUAAAACGCAGGUGGAAUAAGGGCUGGGUAAGACUGGUGCCCAGCCCGCCGCGGGUAACACCAGCAGCUCGAGUGGUGGCCAUUAUUAUUUGAGCUUAAAGCGUCCGUAGCCGGUCUGGUAAAUCCUUGGGUAAAUCGAACGGCUCAACCGUUCGACUUCCAGGGAGACUGCCAGACUUGGGGCCGGGAGAGGCUAGAGGUACUGUUGGGGUAGAAGUAAAAUUCUGUAAUCCCACCAGGACCACCAGUGGCGAAGGCGUCUAGCUAGAACGGACUCGACGGUGAGGGACGAAGCCCUGGGGCGCGAACCGGAUUAGAUACCCGGGUAGUCCAGGGUGUAAACGAUGCGGGCUUGGUGUCGGCAGUCUUACGCGGGCAGCCGGUGCCGUAGAUAAAUUGUUAAGCCCGCCGCUCGGGGAGUACG